AUUGAACGCUGGCGGCAUGCUUUACACAUGCAAGUCGAACGGUAACAGGCCGCAAGGUGCUGACGAGUGGCGAACGGGUGAGUAAUGCAUCGGAACGUGCCCAGUCGUGGUGGAUAACUACUCGAAAGAGUAGCUAAUACCGCAUACGAGCUAUGGAUGAAAGCGGGGGACCGUAAGGCCUCGCGCGAUUGGAGCGGCCGAUGUCAGAUUAGGUAGUUGGUGGGGUAAAGGCUCACCAAGCCAACGAUCUGUAGCUGGUCUGAGAGGACGACCAGCCACACUGGGACUGAGACACGGCCCAGACUCCUACGGGAGGCAGCAGUGGGGAAUUUUGGACAAUGGGCGCAAGCCUGAUCCAGCAAUGCCGCGUGCAGGAAGAAGGCCUUCGGGUUGUAAACUGCUUUUGUACGGAACGAAACGGCUCUGGUUAAUACCCGGGGCUAAUGACGGUACCGUAAGAAUAAGCACCGGCUAACUACGUG
rnacentral:rRNA from 1 species